AGAGUUUGAUCAUGGCUCAGGACGAACGCUUGCGGCGUGCCUAAGAAAUGCAAGUCGAACGGUGUAGCAAUACAUAGUGGCGAACGGUCGCGUAACACGUAAGCAACCUGCCCGAAAGUGGGGGACAACAGCCCGAAAGGGCUGCUAAUACCGCAUGUGGUCUUGGUUUCGCCUGAUUCCAAGUCUAAAGCCUUGUGCGCUUUCGGAUGGGCUUGCGGCCUAUCAGGUCGUUGGUGGGGUAACGGCCUACCAAGCCUUUGACGGGUAGCUGGUCUGAGAGGAUGUCCAGCCGGAUUGGGACUGAGAUACGGCCCAGACUCCUACGGGGGGCAGCAAUUAGGAAUCUUGCACAAUGGGGGAAACCCUGAUGCAGCGACGCCGCGUGAAGGAUGAAGGAUUUCGGUCUGUAAACUUCUUUUAUCGGGGACGAAGAAUGUGACGGUACCCGAAGAAUAAGCCCCGGCUAACUACGUGCCAGCCGCCGCGGUAAUUC
rnacentral:rRNA from 1 species